rnacentral:rRNA from 1 species
GACGAACGCUGGCGGCGUGCUUAACACAUGCAAGUCGAACGGAAAGGCCCUGCUUUUGUGGGGUGCUCGAGUGGCGAACGUGUGAGUAACACGUGAGUAACCUGCCCUUGACUUUGGUAUAACUUCAGGAAACUGGGGCUAAUACCGGAUAGGAGCUCCUGCUGCAUGGUGGGGGUUGGAAAGUUUCGGCGGUUGGGGAUGGACUCGCGGCUUAUCAGCUUGUUGGUGGGGUAGUGGCUUUCCAAGGCUUUGACGGGUAGCCGGCCUGAGAGGGUGACCGGCCACAUUGGGACUGAGAUACGGCCCAGACUCCUACGGGAGGCAGCAGUGGGGAAUAUUGCACAAUGGGCGGAAGCCUGAUGCAGCAACGCCGCGUGCGGGAUGACGGCCUUCGGGUGGUAAACCGCAUGCGACUGUGACGAAGCGUGAGUGACGGUAAUGGGAAAAGAAGCACCGGCUAACUACGUG